ACUGCCCCUAGAGGCUUUGAAGUUGCGGCUUCUGUGUCACAUGUGUGUCAGUAGGCGACAGAGAGGAGGGAGGCUGUGUCUCAGCUCAGUGUUAUGACCUGUGAACACCUGAAUGGUUAGUAGCCUAGCACU